rnacentral:rRNA from 1 species
GAUGAACGCUGGCGGCGUGCCUAAUACAUGCAAGUCGAACGCUGGAAAUCUAGCUUGCUCGAUUGAAGGAGUGGCGAACGGGUGAGUAAUACAUAAGCAACCUACCCACGAAGACUGGGAUAAUCUCUGGAAACGGGGACUAAUACCGGAUAGGUAAUCGGAAGGCAUCUUCUGAUUAUUAAAGGUUAAAAACACUGGUGGAUGGGCUUAUGGCGCAUUAGUUAGUUGGUGAGGUAACGGCCCACCAAGACGAUGAUGCGUAGCCGGCCUGAGAGGGUGAACGGCCACAUUGGGACUGAGACACGGCCCAGACUCCUACGGGAGGCAGCAGUAGGGAAUUGUCGGCAAUGGGGGAAACCCUGACCGAGCAACGCCGCGUGAGUGAUGACGGCCUUCGGGGUGUAAAGCUCUGUUGUAAGGGAAGAACGGUAGAUAGAGAAUAUCUAAAUGACGGUACCUUACCAGAAAGCCACGGCUAACUACGUG